rnacentral:lncRNA from 1 species
AGCACAAACCUUCUAUAAAUAUACUAGCUAUCACCCAUCAAUUACAAUUUUCCCCAUUUCUUCCCCAAGUUCAACACAAAAAAAGAAACUUUACGGCAUGUCGGCGGUAGGCUAUGGUUUUGCUGAAUCAUACGUGCAGAGGGACCUCCACAAGAGGAAGCUGAAGAUGGAAAAAGAAGAAAGAGCCAAGCUUGGCAGGCCGGAGUCGGAAUCGGAAAUGGUAAAGUCGUCAAGUGGUUGUUUCUUCUGGCCAGUGUUGAAAAAAGUCCAUCCAACAAUUGUUCCAAGGACUCGUUCAGCUGAAACUGAAGAAGUUAGAACUUUGAACCAUAAAGAUUAAGGAAACUGAAGAAAACAAGACACAGCUAAAGAACGAAGCCCCGGGGAAACACCAAGGCAUAUAGUAGCCAAGGUGUCUGCAACAAAGCUAGCUUUGCGAAACACAUGCAUGAAGGAUGGUGAAGUCCAAUUUCUUGUGUGCUGUAUGAGAGCUUUCGUAAUUCCUCUUUAAUUUGUUUAUUAGUCUAUGAUGAAAUUGUUAUUGUUGGCCUGAAACGCUUUUGUUAGUGAUGCUGCAAUAAAACGCACGAAUGGCGACCUAGCUAUUUCCACGAAAACCCUACAAAUUCAUAUUCGUUAGUGGUACAUCCUCCGUGCACACCUGCGUAUCGAACUAUAAAACGUUUGUCUAGAUGCUCCUUAAAUAUAUAUGGUUAGAGGAAGUUCGUGAUCAACAACAAAAUCAUCAUUAUUACUGCUAGUGUACUGCUAUGGUCGUUGAACGGACCGAAACCAAGAUAAAGAAGCUCGUCAUUGUCUCCUGGAAAAUAUAGCACGCCAUUGAAUGCAACGGAGAGCUCCCCAAGUUCAUCAAAAUCAAAGACCUCCACGCUUAAAUUGAAGGAAUCACAUUUCUCACCAUUCGCAGAUUCAUAGGGAGGAAGAAUUCUCAACACCUUGCAACUACACUCGGCAUCACGUGGUUGUCAUGUCCUUUCCAAUUGUCUUUCUUACAGUUACGGUAUUCGCGAUGAUAAUCCUCGCUUGCGCAGCACUAACCCAAGUCACUAUGCGUUGCAACCACAACUGGCUCUCCUAUCAAAUUGUGGAAGCUGAUAAUUCUUUUGAACACUUGGAGCUGGUAGCUUGGAUGCCCACAGCAUUUUAGGAGGGAGUUCCUCCCCUGUUUGGUUUAUUAGGGUGCGUGCCUUGGGAGCAUUCUUAUAGCUUUGGAUAUGUACAAAACGACCAAGAAAAUAAGAAUCCGCGAUUAGAGUGCGCCAACAUUGGACACAGACUUGCAUUGGAAAACAAAUUUGUUGCUUGGAAGUCGCCAAGGGAUUUCAACCAAUACAACAUCAGCCAAAAUUUAACCUCGUUCGUGGAGAGGCAAACCAAGCAGCACAAAGGCUUGCUCGUGCAGGACUUGGACAGCAACAGAAGGUGUCGUGCAUGGUUCGAGGGACCACCGGAUUUAAUCACACAUAUUUUGUCUGAGGAUAGCUCAAUUCGGUUUGCAUUGCUAUUUGAUUGCAUUUUCUUUUAGGAUAGUUAACUUUCAAGUUGCUUGUGCUCUAUUUCUCUUCAACUAGGCUAAAACCUCUGACAAGAUUUUUAUCGAGGUCUAUUUGUGCACCCUAUCCUCAAAUAUGUACGUAUUCCCUUUUGAAUAUAUUGCAAACAAAAACAAACACUUGAUUAAUUUUCAAACUUUUCAAAAUAAUGUGUAGUGCUCUUGCUCAAGUGUAUGUGCUCAAACUUUUCAAAAUUUUCAAACACAAGAAGAAACUCAAGAUGGAAGAAGAAAGAGGCAAGUCAAAAUCCAAAAAUACUGAAAUGGUGGUGCCAGCCUAAAGGUUGUUUCUUGUGCGCGUUGAAGAAAGUCUGUCCGAGCAAUGUUCGAAGAGUUCGUUCAGCUGCAAUGGCAGAAGUUGGAAACGAUGAAGUUUGAUCAAUCGUACUCCGUCCGAGCAAUUUUCAGAGGUUUAAUACUGUAAUUUGGUAUGCUACCAGGUUAUUGUUUUUUCCUAUUUACUCCUUUACUGUAUUUUAGCAGGAAAAAAAUGUUACAGUAAAGUUUGAAAUUGUUAUAUUCCUAAAAGCCGUUGAAGGACCAUCUAAGUGUAAAGUUUCGAAUUUUCUGCAGAACAAGUGGUUUGGAAAUUGCUUGGAUGGAUUUUUCUUAACACCAGAAAGAAACAACCUAGAUUUUACCACUUUGGAUUCAGCCGUGCCAAGCUUGGCUCUUUCUUGUUUUUCCAUCUUCAGCUUCUUCCAGUGGAGGUCUCUCGGCGCAUAUGCUUCAGCUAGAUCAUAACCUACAGCGGACAUGUCCGGAAUUUAAUAUUUUUUAAUCAACGGACAGUUUCGCAUAAAAGUGUAAGAGCAAAAACUGGAAACCAAUCAGAAACCAGUCACAGACAAGUUAGAAGACUUGACGAAAAAGUAAAAAACAAGAUCAAGAAGACUGUCGUGAACAGCAUUCCAAAAGGGGCAUUUGUCACUUAAUUUGAUAUAUAUUUGCAUCAAUUUACACCAAGGAAUGCGAAGACAAUAUUCAAAUUAAAUUACUCUAACAAAGAAACUUACCCAGACAGAAACAAGACAGCUUGCCAAAGGCCACCAAAAGAGGGUUGUCCAAGAGAGCAGCCAAAAUACCCAAAAUUAGUUUGGAGGAUAGGGAAGGUCGUCCUUGAGCAAAAACCAGGGAAAUUGGUGGUCUAUCGACCCAACUUUGACGUUCCACAAUCCUCAAAGCAAGCAAGGCAACAUGGUGAGCGGCACCAUUUGCCUCGUGAGUAGACCACUUCCAAUGUAGGUCUUCAAAAUUGAUCUUCUUCGAUCUUAUUUCCAACAAGAGUGGAUAGAUUUCCCAAGCACCCUUUUCUAUGUCACCCUUCAAGCACUUAAUCGAAGCACUCUCCACCAUCACUUUUGUGAAGCCUAAGCUUGCAGCUAGAUCCAAUCCUUUGAUAACCGCGGCUCUUUCAGCCAUAAGAGCAGAGGAACACUUAUAGAACAGCCAAAGCACCUCUGAAUGUGUCUAACCUGUUAUGAAUAACAAUCCCCAGCCCUGCCUCCAAUGAAGAAGUACACCAGGCCCCUUCAGUGAUCACCUUAACAAAAUUAUGAAUUGGAGGGCACCAUACCACAUUGGCAAGGUCAAAAUGAGAAGCUCCUGGACUCUUAAUAGUUUAGCCUUCCAGAUAUCCCAACAGGUGAUACCUGCAAGAGAAAGAAAGGUGUCGAGAUUUUCUCCCCUUGUCCGCCUAGAAAUUUCGUAUGAAAACCAAUGGUCAAGAGAUGAAACAUCUUCAUUAAGUCUCCUGUAAUUUAGAGCAGUGCCAAACCAAAUGCCUUUAACCCGUGGGCAUAAAUUCCAUGUAAAUUGGACAUAGGAAAUUCAUGGUGAUAUGUCUUCUAAACAGAUUCUUUCUUGUAGGAAAAGCGCUAAAAAGGCAGGCCACAUGAAGUUCAGAAUAUGGGGGGUGGCUUUCAUCUUCCAAAUGGUGCUAUCAACAAUGUGGGAAUGGAGGUGGGCAGGGAACUGAAGCAUUUCUGAUCUUUUGUCUUUGAAGCCAGUGAUAGCCUGAUCUUACGGAAUGGAUACCAUUCACCUUCCAAGGCCAAAUUAAACGAUCACCACCAGUAGCAGAACCUAUGGGAAGAAGCAGGAUUUUAUCACCUCUUGAGAAACAAAGGGGCAUAAGAAAAUCUUUCCACCACACUCUACUCUCUCUGUCCAUAAUGUCUGCCACUUUCCUUGCAGUUGAGGGAGAAAGGACUGUUGUUGUGUUCCUCCUCAACCUGAGAUUGCUCCACAGUACUCCUCCUUCAGUUCCAUUCCAAAUGUGUUGUCAUUUGAAACGACACAGAGUUCGACUUUACUCUGGUACUUCCGUGUUCAUCUGUCAAGUGCAACACAACCUCUACCAGAAAAAAUAACCAUACACAGAACAACAUUCAAGCCAGAAGACCAGCGGGUGCCAUCUAGCAGUUCUCAUCAGCACCAAUGAGGAACAAUUAAUGGAUGCCAGCUUAGCAUUCGAAGCCUCCUCUUCAUCCUCACCCCUCCUCAAAUGAUUACAUCAGUUUCCAUGCAGCUUUUUGCAAUUUCGAGGUUAAUGCAAUUACAUCCUGAGACCAGCGAAACAUGAACCUUUCUUUGAAGUCCGUUUAAGCAAUCUUCCCCUGCUUCUGUUUCUUCUUCUACAUUGCUUUCUAUACUUGGAUCAGACCUUAGUCUUGCUGCCCUGUCUUCAUUUUAUUCACUUGAAUACGGCAAGGAGAUGGAUUCACAGCCAAACAAAUACCCAUUAACUAGUUUUUCCCCUUCCAGACUAACCCUAUUUCUUCACGCUGAUGAAUAUCAUGAGCGCUCCCUGCUCUUUCCAAGUGCACACCGACAAUUAUCUUGAAGCCACCUUUCACAUUAAGCUUGUCGUUUGAUAGAUGUCCCAGCCAAAGUUUGUCUUAUGGGAAGCAACCAUGGUCACUUGCAUUGCACAGAUGAUAAAUUCCCUCUGCUGGGUACAAUUCACAGCAUGAAAUGUGAAGAUAAUCAUCAGAUUGGGAGUUAUCUUAUCAGAAGAGUAAAUGAUGCACACAGUCAGCGGCUUAAAAUCACAACCAAAACCUGGCGGCACAACUAUUUCAUCCUUAUGGUCGACCACCCUAAACCAUGAAGGAAAACAUUUCCAUGAUUAAAAAAGGCAACCAUUUCCGCUCACACAUUUCUAAUACACGUGGAGCAACAUUUGUACAUACAUUUCUAAACCAUGACAGAAAAUUAGUAAUGGUGGUUUGGACAUGUGAAAUGAAGGCCUAUAGAAGCUCCGGUUAGAAGAUGCGAUUACGAGACAAAGGUUCAGGGCCGAAGGAGUAGAGGAAGUCCUAGGAAAACUUUGGAAGAGACUCUAAGAAAAGACUUGGAGUACUUGAAUCUAACAAAAGAUGUGGCACAGAACCGAGCGCAAUAGCGUUCUAGGAUUCAUACAGCCGACUCCACUUAGUGGGAUAAGGCUUUGUUGUUCUUGUUGUUGUUGUUGUAUUUAUGUGCAAAUAAAGGAGAGGGAGGGAGAGAGAGAGACGGGAGCUGCAGGAUUAUUUCCUUACAAGCAGCAGUGAGAUUGGUGCACCCUUCCAUAUGAAUCCUUGUCAUGAUGUUUGACAACUUAUCCAAGCCUGGAAUCUCAGUGAGUUUGGGGCAGUGAUUCAGAUGCAAUUCCCUCAUACUCGACAGAUCUGAAAAAUCUGGCAUUUUUUCCAAUGCAAUGCACUCAUCUGCCUCCAGGAUUUCCAAUUUUUUUGGUAAAUCUGGGAUCACCCGAAGGUUUGUACAAUUAUUCAAUUGUAAAGUGUGAAGCUUGGAAAGGCCGCUGAGGUUAGGUAGCCCAUAAAAACAAUUGCCACUUAAGUCUAAAACGUCUAAAGAAGAUAGACCCCCAAGAUCCUUAGGAAGUGCAUCAUCUGUUAGAUCGCAGUUCGCAAGAGACAAAUACUUAAGGUUCUUCAGUUGUACUAUGGAAGGGUGAACCUCGGAAAAACUCUGGCAGUCAUUAAGUAACAGUUUCUCGAGAUUUGGGAGUUUUGAAAAGUUUGGUGAUCUUUUCAGGUGAUGGCAAUACCCAAGAUUAAGAAACUUCAACUUCUCAAGCCGCUGUCAGAUAAAAGGAAAACAUAAAUCAAAAUACAAAUAUAAGCGAGAGAGCAUGAUGUUAUUUCUAACAAAAAAAAAAAUAUCAGGGAUUUGGUUGAGAGUGUACUAUACCAUGUUGGAAUCAUUCCAAACUUGUAUUUUGCUAUGGCUCAGGUUGACAUCAACUAGGUAUUUAGUAAAAUCUUUUGGUAUGACCCCUUGAGGAAACUCAGGCCAGCACAACCAUCUUAACCUUUUGGAAAGAUGUUCGCAGUUUCCUUUGAACUUUACGCCUUUGAGUUUGAGCAACCUGAGUCUCUGCAUCUCUUUAAAUGCUUCUGUACUGAAGCUAGCCUUGUCGGGUUCUUGCAAAUCUAACACGAGUCCUUCAACGAACUCUGUUCCCUUUUAAUAGAAAACAAAUAAUAAGGAAAUAAGAAAUGAUGAAUGCAACUAAUUAAGAAAAGGGUUAUUUGCACAAUUUAUAAGUAUACAGCAAAGCCAUAUAGUUGUAUUUCGACUUCAUCUCUCCUUCCAUUCAAACUGUAGUUUUGUUCAAAUCAAUGCAUAUCAUAGUGUAUAUUGUUCAACAUCCAGGGCAUACAAUUUAUUACAGUUGGGAUAAGCAUACCAUACACUUAAUAUCAUUUGACAGCAAAUGUACUUACAGAUUUGCUCCUCAAUACGUCUUUUACAUCUUCUUGAUCCCACAAUCUACAACGUUUUCCAAGGAUGUUAGGGGAUUUUGCACGUACGAUUUGUCUGCCCAUAUCUCGAAGCAAAUCAUGCAUUACCAGGUUGUUUCCUUCAUCAACAGUUACAAGGCCUCGAUCACAGAGUUCUCCGAUUCCUAUUUCUGGAUCAAAGUCACAGCCAUCCAAUAUUGCCAUGACAUGUUCCUUGUUCAUUCCAAUAAAGAAACAAGAUAUGUCAAGGAAUAUAUCCUUAACGUCAUCAUCAAUUAGCCCAUCGUAGCUUAUUUUAAGCUUUUCGUAAAUUGGCAUAUGAGGAUGUCUUUUCAAUUUACGCAAUGCACUUCUCCAUUCACUUUUGAGUUUUGUACAUAAAUAAGAACCUAAUACUUCAAGUGCUAGUGGCAAACCUCCGCAGUAAUUGACAACUUUGCUCGACAGUUCAAGAUAUUCUUCAUCAGCAGGAUAACUCUCCGUAAAGGCAUGGCAACAAAAGAGCUCAAGAGCUUCUUCUUUAUUCAUUAUUUGUGCGGUACAUGUCUUAUCCACUUCAAGUAUCUUGAGCAAGUGUUUGUCUCUUGUUAUUAUAAUAAUUCUACUCCCUGGACCAAACGUGUCACGAUUUAUAGCCAACUCAUGUAAUUGUUUCACACAAUCUAAUUCAUCAAUUAUGACAAGUACCCUCAUGCGGCCAAGUCUUCUUUUUAUCUCCUUAGUCCCCUGAUCGACACUACUUACCUCUACAUUAGCUAGUUUCAAGAUAUCACUAAGAAGCUUGAUUUGCAAUUUAACCAUAUCCUCUUCCCUCACUUUUGAAAGGAAACAGCUACCUUCAAACAUUUGAUGAAAUCUGCGGAAAAUGGCUUUUGCAACCGUUGUCUUGCCCGUCCCAACCAUACCCAAAAUUCCAAUAAUGUGAACAUUAUUUGAUCCUCCGACAUCUAACUCAUUACUGAUAAGUUGCACGCGAGAAUCUAUUCCAAUUUGGUUCGUGGGUACAUCUGGAUAUGUGUUGUUCAGCGACUUCAGUCUUCGAGUGAUGUCGUCGACAACUUUCCUUAUAAACUUUCCUUCGUACCUAGCAGUUAAAAUACAAAAUUAAACAAAAGUAAGACUCACAUAUAACUGCAGGAUUCAACUCAAGUAACAGUUUUUGGGAUCAAAUAAGUUUUCAAUUUUUAAUUAAAUACUUUGUUCAACUUCUGGUGAAUUAUGUUGUGUUUGAACCAUAAAUUUUCAAGCAUGACCCUAGUAAAUUAAAGGUGGUGUGCCUUAAAAAAGAAAAAGGAGCUUGGCAAAUGAAAAAAUCGAAAUGAAGAUCUCUACAAUACACACGCAGGCUCUAGAUGAGUUUGUUGUUUAAGCACUCCAUACCAGCAUGGAGAAGUAAUAGCUCUUCUCAACUACUCCACUUCGCCAUGAAAUACGAAGUAACUAAUGCUCACCUUUGGUCUAUGGAAGGGGACAAAGCCAAGGAGAAGGAAAAAAGGCACAGAUGGCAGAAAAAACAUUUGAGAGAGAGCAAAAAACUGCAAAAGUUCAUAGUGAGUUCAGAAAGAAAGAGCAACAGGGUGCUAAAGAAAUCAUUAGAGAAGAGAAGAAGACAAGAGUUUCAGACGUGAAAAAUCUCCAGCCGGACGAGAGAGAAUAGCAACCAUAGGCACAAAAAGGGGAUAAAACCCAUGUUGUCACUUCUGUGCUUCUUUCAUCUUCUUUUCUGUACAACUUUGCAGGUGAGUCUGGUUGUGAACAAAUCAUAAAUCAGCACCAAAUUGUCAUAUGACAACUUCUUUUGUAUCUCUUUUGUGCAGGAAACAUUAUGAAGUGGCAGUCGUAAAGAAGAAGAGUGAAGUUCAUGUUCCUUCAAAAAGAUGCAGAAAAUGAGGGAAUUUUCUGAAGCCAAACAAAUUAAGAAAUUGCAGUCAAUAGCCUCUCUGGUCACCACUCAUAUUCCUUUUCCGUCAAUAGGAGGUUGCUGAUCACAACCCUUUUUCGUCAAAAAAUGUUGCUGAACAAGUACUCUCUGAUAGAAAAGAAGAGGAGAAGCUGCUGGCUAGAAAAAGGUGUGGAGAUGAAGACUGCACAAAAGAGACAGUCACAAGACUUCUCAGCUGAACGAAGUGUGCCAAAGAAUGGUGUGGUUGCUGUUACUGACGGAAAAGAAGGCUGCAAAAAGGUGUCCGCAAGACCCUUCUGUUGUGCAUACGGUCCAAAUUGCUGAUGGAGUAGAAGGCUGCACACGAGAGGUGUCCACAAGGCUUGUCAACUGUGCAAAGUGUACCUAAAUGGGUACAGAUGCUGUCAGUUGUCAAGUUUCUAGCUGAAAAUGAAGACAAAGCCCAUGAAAAAGAGAUGUCUCGAAGACCCCUCUCUCAUAUGCAACUCACAUACGAACACCCGCAAGGUCUUCACGUCAUUGCACCCGCUCAUAGAACACCAUCAAGGUCAUUUAUGAGCACCAAAGACAGAGAAAAGCAAGAAGUAAAAAGUAACAAAGACGGAAAAGACCAAUUAGCAAGUAAUUGGUACAAGACUCAUCAUCAAAGGAGACUACAAAAUCUAAGUUCAUUGCACCAGUCUUGCCAACAAAAUCACGAAGACUCUAGGUCGGAAAGUAAGAAAAUUUGAGUUGAUUCAAAAAGGAAGACUUAGAUGAAAAGCAUGCCCUUUUGGCUAAAGAAGAUAUUUGAGGUUUUCAAGUCCGUUUUGCUGCUCAAGUGCUCAGCCUAGAGCUCCCAUGGAAACGCCAAACCAAAUGAUUCCAAGAACUCGACUGGCUUGAUCCCUCAGAAAGAGUAUAUAGGCAAUCUAAGGCUUGACCUAGGUCGUACCCAGUGCACAAGGCUCCCGCUUUACGCAGGGUCUGGGAGAAGUAAAUGUCGGCUAGCCUUACCCCCAUUUAUGAAGAGGCUGCUCCCAAGUCUCGAACCCGAGACCUACCGCUUAUGGGCGAAGGCACUUGCCAUCGCACCAAGUGCGACCUCUUAAGGCUCGACCUAGGUGCAGCCGCAAAAUCAAACAAACCCCAAGUACAAUUUAUUCAUAUUGGAAACAAAGGGCGUUUCCUUUUUAACAAAGGAUUGGAAUUGAUAGACACUUUGUCCUGAUUUGGUAGUACUCAAAAUAAUAAAAUCCUCCUACUAAUUAACGUGGGUGAAGUUAUGUCGAGUGAAUUAUUUGUUACGCUACAAUCUUUGCUCAACAUGUUGAUCCAUGCGAAUGCAGUUAGCUCAAUUCCCCACACUGAUAGUUAGCUCAAAGCGUUUGUAGAGUCUCAAACUUAUCAGGGUUUCUAAGCUUUGCAUUACAAUAUGUGAAAUGAAAGAUUCUGAGCCCUACUUGAGAAGCCAACACAUGACAUUUCGCAAGCUAAUCACAAUCAAAUAUCGACUACAUAGCGAUCAAAUUUUGAUUAGUUCAGCAUUUGAAAUUUAAAAAGUAGAUUUUGCAAGGAAUUAACAAUUAAGUGAUUACCCAUCAGUGUUUCUAAGAUUCCCACCAGCCAAAUUUGCAGCUAGAGUGAAAGCCGAUCUCCACCUCUGCACCAUAUCGCCAUCGAAGCACUCUUCAUGCUUCCCAAAUGCCGUGGCAAAACUACCAGUCUGAUGCCUAACUUCGGAAGGAUCAACAUCGUAGAAAAUAGGCAAAAGAAUUUGACCCAUUGUUGCUCUACACUCCACGAUCUUCUCCAGCUCCUCAAGACACCAUCUCGAAUCCGCGUACCGCUUCGAGAAGACAACGACGGCGAUCCUGGACCGUUUGAUCGCUUCCACUAGCUCGUCUGUUAUAUUUUCCCCUCGUCGUAGUUCGUUCUCGUCGAUGAAGACGUUGACCUUGUUGUCUUUUAAUGUCCAGUAGAGGUUGUCGGUGAAGGUCUUGCGCGUGUCUUCACCUCUGAAGCUCAAGAACACGUCAUGCUUCCACCGUUUUGGGGAGGAGGAGGAGGAGGAGGCUGCGACGGCCGCCCUGGCAUCCAUUAAAUCAAUCAUAUUCCGCCGGUGGAGGUUGUGUUUUUGGCCAAAUGAUGGGCAGAAAAAUACAUAACCAAGUCAAGUCAACUCAGCUCGUUUUAUUUGACUCGCUCGCUGUCCACCAAACGGAAAAGAAACGUCCGUUUGCUUCACGAAUUAAAUUUCAAUUUUUUCUUUAUCUUAUGAGAAAUUUAUAGCAUUAGCCAUCUACUUUUAACUAAUUGGAAUAAUCAUUUCUCAACUUCUUAAUUGAUUAUAACGUGCAAUUAUGAUUUUUUUCAUCAACUUCGUCGAAUUCUAUAAAAAUGACUCAUACGUUGGAAUGAUCAUUGGUACAAUGUUUUAAAGUUGAGAGAACUGUAAUUGAUUUAAAGUUGAGGAACUAUUUCUCUAAUUAGGUUACAUUCAAGAACCAUUCCUACAAACUUUUUUUAUUUGAUUUUUCAUAUUUACCCCUUGAUCUAGCCUCAUGUGCGAGUAUACUUGGCAUUUUAAACUCGAUCCGUUAACCCGACCCAAUCCUUUAAAAUUAGUAUUCGAAUGAGUAUUUAACAGGUCGGGUUGUUAACGGGUCAACCCGUUAAAUAAUGGAUCAUUUUAGAUCAACCCGCGAAACCCGUUAAUACCCGUUGUUGAGGGCUUUUGUGUAAUUUCAAUAGUUAUAAUAGGAAGCCCUCAAACUCAAAGUCUAUCUCUGCCACUUCAAAGAGGUCACCGAUAUGCUCCAGGACUACAUUCUCGGGUCAAAAUGGCAACAGACUACUUUUCCUCCUCCUCCGGUGGCUCUAACACUUCGUCUCAGCUGCUUUCUUGAGAGCGAGUCAAGCUUCUCUCCUCCAAUAGCGGCAACUCGUCCUCUGGCUUGCCGGAUCGGGAUCCUUCCUUCAAGUGCUUCUCUGUCUCGGGCUUGAAGAAGAAGGUCAUGGUAGGGCUCUGUCAAACGGCGAAAAGGAUGGACAAUGGAGGUAAGUGUCAAAAUGGAUUGAUUCCUUUGGUUUUGCAUAUUGGGGAUGGACAUAAAUGCACUGCCAACUAUUGUAAAUGAAAUCUGAAUGUGAGAUAUUGUUUGUACGCGUAAUUUGAAUUGGAAUGCAAAAUUAAACAAAAAAACAAAAACAAAAAAAAUCUUAAUGGGAGUUAACGGGUCAAACGGAUGAAUGGGUGACUAAUGAGCUUAACGGGUUGAAUUCGGGUGACUGAUUGGAUUCGGAUGUUCUGUUAACUUAACGAAUCGGGUAAAAUUCGAUCCAAACCCAAUAAACCCGACCCGUUUAUAGGUCUAUGUGCGAGACAAGUAACUUAUUUUGAUAAAAAAUUUAACUAAGUUUUAACUGAGUUAACGAAAAAAAUUAUAGAUGCAUGUUUUAAUGAGUUAAGAAAUUAACGUUCAUAGAUUUUUAGGUAAUAAACUAUUGCUCUAAUUAAGUUAAAAGUUGAACAAUUUUCUUUUAUUUUAAUCCGUCGAGCCAGUUUGACCCGCAAGAAUAGAUGCCUUGCUCCUCUCUGUCGGUUUCUCCGUCUCCCCCCUUCCCCUUUCUUUCUCCUUUUCUUCCUCCCUCCCACAAAUUCUCUUCUCUAUGCACCUUAAAGCUCACGUCUUUGCUCCAAUUAACAAAAACCAUGGAUCCGACGUCGAAGUCCCCACCACCCAUAUCCCGCUCCGGAGACCGGAACCCGGCUUCGAAUGAGAUCCAAUUCAGAGGUGUCCGGAAGAGGCCUUGGGGACGCUACGCCGCCGAGAUCAGAGAUCCCGGGAAAAAAAGCCGCAUCUGGCUCGGGACCUUUGACAGCGCUGAAGAGGCAGCACGUGCGUACGACAACGCGGCGCGUGAGCUCCGCGGAGCCAAGGCGAAGACCAACUUUCCCGCCUCCGCUGAGAACCUUCUCGAGAGGCCGAGUGGUAGCGAAGGGACCUUUAACAGCGCUGAAGAGGCGGCACGUGCUUACGACGUAGCGGCGCGUGGAUUGCGCGAUGUUAAGGCGACAGCCGACCUGAACCUCCCCGCCCCCUCUGAUCACCAGCUCGAGAGGCCGAGUGGUAGCAAAAGGAUCGUACAGGUGCAACAACAAUUAACGGAUACCAGUACCGUUACAUCCCUCGGACCUCCCUCGCCUUCCCCCUCCGCCAUCUCCACCACCACCUCCUCCUCGUCCUCCUCCUCGUCCUCAAUAGAAGAUGAGAUUUACGACGUAUUCUUGAGCUUCAGCGGUGAAGACACGCGCAAAACCUUCACGGACCACCUGUAUUGGACAUUGAAAGCCGCCAGAGUCGACGCCUUUAUCGAAGAGAAGGAAUCAACGAGAGGAGGGGAAGAAAAAGCAUCAGAGAAAGUGAAGCAAGCAAUCCAGGGGUCCAAGAUGGCUGUGAUCAUCUUCUCAAGGAGGUAUGCUGAUUCCACCCGGUGUCUUGAGGAGUUGGUGGAGAUCAUGGAGUGCAAAAGAACACUACGGCUAAUGGUUUUGCCAAUAUUCUACGACGUUGAUCCUUCAGAUGUGAAGAGCCAAUCUGGGAUUUUUGCAGAGGCAUUUGAGAAACAUGAAGAUCAUAAGGAAGAAAAACUAGGGCGGUGGAGAAAGGCUGUUUCUGAAGCUGCAGACUUAGCCGGUGAGGUUUUUACAAAGACGGACGGGUAAUUAUUUACUUGUAUGAAUGUUUUUCACGAAUUUUACAAAAUUAUCAUCGGAAUCCAAGGUUUUGAUUUGUAAGGAAUUAAGGGUUUAGUUCAAUUUAGUCUGGUUAAUUUUGGGUUUUAACUACUAGGUAUGAAGGAGUGUUUAUCAGGAAAGUUAUUGACGAGAUCACCGGAAAACUGAAGAUGAAGAGAACAUCCCUAGGCGGAGCCACCGGGCAAUCUGUGCAAGAAAUCAGGCUGUUCGGCGUGCCCCUGGUGAUCGAUUCCAUGGGGAAGAGCGACUGUCGUAAUGGAUGACGCCGCGCCAAGGAAAAGCACAGGAUAUUCCUGCUAGGAUUGCAGAAAGUUGGGAGAGGAUAUUGGAGAGAGGGAUCUUAAGGAACUUCGUGAAGACUCGCACACCGCAACCACAAUUGUGCCGGUGCUGCAGAUAUAGCUUCUUUGACAUCACCGCCGAUAAUGUCCAAUCGAUGAAGAGCAAGUACAUUAUCAAGAUAAUACAUCUCAGUAACAUCCGUUGCCACCUCCCCACCAUCCGUGCCUUUGCAAUCCUGCUGGAUUUUUUAUGAUGCCAAAUUUAACACAAUUUGACAGUUAGUUACGUGCAGAGUUGUUCCUCAAUACACUUUCUACAUCAUCGUGAACCCGCAAUCUACUACCUCUUUCAGGAUUGCCCAAGGAUUCUGCACUCACGAUUUCCCUGUCCAUGUUUCAAAUCAUAUCAUGCAUCAUCAGAUUGCCUUCUCUAUCAACAGUUACAAGGCAUAGCUUAUUUGAAUGGUCUUCACUUCGAUGAAGAACAAGGACCACUAUCAUCCAAUAUUUUGAGGAUGUAGUCCUUGUUAUUUCCAAUCAAGAAACAACAUAUAUCAAGGAUUAUUAUCUUAAACUUUCCACAUACAUCCCAAUGAUGCUGUAUUUUUAAUGAACAACUUCGUUUGAGAGUUCAAGAUAUCCUUCAUUUCGACAACGAUUUCCAAAGGUACUUGAAUUUGUUGAAUUAUCUCAAAGUAAUGAAAAUACAUGUCCUGCUCUUGUCGAGUACAAUUCUAUGGCUUCGAUCAAGGGGUACCGCAGCAGCUGACGGUAAAUAAUUCAUUGCUUUGCUUGCUUGUGUAUAAACCAUAUUUUCAAAUGCAAAUAAUCCUUUUCUUACUCAAUUCCUUUCUUUAUUUCUAACAGGGUGCAAAAAAAAAAAUAAGGAGACUCCUGCUGAACCUCCAGAGUGCCAUCGUUGAGAGUGGGUGCACUGUAUGCUCGAUACAGUCAGUUUGAAGUACAUGGCAGCAGGUCCUCAAACCCAAUUUGCUCUUUGGGUUUUAAUCAAUGUGAAUACCAUUUUGCUGCUGCCGGGGUCUCUCAAAGAAAGUUUAAUGACUUUUUAUGCAUUCUUCAAUGGUUCUGUUGAUAUUCAUUAUCCAGCGAUCGAGAUGUCAAACAAACAAAGGAUCAGCUGUGUUUGCUGGAACAACUAUGUCAAAAACUAUCUGGCUUCAACUGAUUUUGAUGUAGUCAAGGUGUGUAUAUUUUGUGCUAUUUCAGUUGUUUAUUUUACUGGUAAAAAAAAUAAAAAAUAAAACUGCUUCCUUCUGAAUGUUGGCCUGCUAACCACUGCACAUUCUUCCUUGUGAUAUAUGGAAGUGAUGAUGAUAGGAGAAUUUUAAUUGAAAAAUGGAUUGCUCUUUGUUGUCGUUUAGUUUUUCUGUCCCAACGGUUUCUAAUACAUGAAUUGUUCGAGUCCUUGGAAAGUUAACAAAAACGUAACACGUUAUCUAUAUUUUUCUGUUGAAUAUAAACACAAGAUUGCUCAUCUUAUGCGUUUACAACAGUUAGUAAUUUUCUGUUCCUUGAAACUCUUUCUUUGGUUUCGUAUGGUUCUUAUUUAAAUGAAAAAUUUAUGCUCUGCCGCUGAUAUACAAAUGUUGCUGAUUGAACUUGUAAUUAAGUAAUCUGAGAUUGAAGUCAAUCAGUAAUAACCUUGUAUCAUGUCAUUGGUACUAGAAUGUUCCAGCUGCCUAAUUAGCAUGAAAUCUCUCCUUUCAUGUCCGAUGAUAUUUGCGUUGCCAACUUCUGAAUACCUUGACUUUCUUGAAACUAAUUUAUGCCACUUGUAUUUCAGGUUCCUUGCCUUAAAUCAGUUUAGUUUUCGCGCCUGUGCGCGCAGCUGAUCCUCGAUUCAGUUGUGAGGGUUGAGAAAAAGACGGCAGAUUAUUCUGGCUGCAAUAUGGUGCAUUGACGUGAUUGAAUACCUGAAACGAAGGCAGAUGGAUGCAUUGACACGUUUGAACAACUAUAUCGGUUGUGUUUGGUAGCUGAAAAAAGUUGCUUUUUCUUAAAGCAGGGUCAUAAAAAGCAGAAAUUGAGAAGGUAGAAACAGCAUGUAGUAGGCAUUGUCUGGCAUUUGAACACAUUCUAGCAUUACGAAUUACACAUAUAAUAGCGAUAGUCUUGUAGCUCAAGUUUCUACCAUUUCAAGUCCUGUCUUCGAUUCGGUACAACGAAAUGCAUCAUUGUUAUUAUAUAUAUAUAUAUAUUUGGUUGCUUACUUUGUACAAUUCACCAGCGUACUAAUACCACUAUAAAAAUACAAUAACUAAUUAUUAGUCUAGCGAUAUUUUUCUUUUCAAUAUUUAGAAGUCGCAAAUUUUGUUUGGUUUAAUUUGUUGAGGAACAGAUGAAAUUCAUUAAACCGAAGCAUUACGAGAUGCAUCAAUAUCGUUACACGAAAAAACACUCUAACCAAAGAGGGCAUCUUCAACCCAAACUACAUCAACAUCGCACGACAUUGCAAAUUUGGCAAGUUCUGAGUAAAAAAAAAGUGUCAUAAUUUUCUUUUUACAAUAAUUGAACAUCGUUAUAGGUAUAUUUAACAUGCAUUUCUCUUCCUAUCGCCGUCAUCUAUGCUUGAUUCACUUUAGUCCAAAUCUUGAUCAAGAUUAAUUGGUUCAUUUUUUUUGGUUCUCGUUUUGAGUCUCCAUCUUACUAACAAACAAACAAACCAAAAUAUAUGAGCCCUGCACUGAGAAAUAAUAUACUUAUAGUAGACAACAAAAUUUAUAAUCCCAAUUAACAAUCAGUUGCUUCACUAUAUAAUCUCAAUUAACAAUCAGUUGCUUCACGUGGUAUUAAACUCGAGUCAGUUAUCUCAAGAGCAACUAAAAAUGCAGGUUCAAAAUUCAAAUCCUGCCAACAGAUUCCAACAUUAAGUGACUGUAAUGACUCAGUUUAAUCAUGUUAGUAUUGAGAAAUUAAAAGGGAAAUAAACGGAAACACUAGAAAGUGGUAGUUUAAGUAUCACGAAACAGCUAAACAUGUUGUGUAAUUCAACGAGAACAAUCAACAAACAAUAUAAAUGGUUAAAUGGGUACCCGUUUGUACUCACGGGUAAUACAUAUGCUCACAAUUUAUAUUUUACCGGUAAACAGUUAUACCGUAUUUAUUUAAACGGUUACUUAUAACCAUAACCAUUAAGUUAUAACCAUAACCAUUAAGUUUAAAUGGCUGAACAACCACUGUUACCCAUACCCACGGGUAUUUUGUCCAUCCCUAACCACUAGGAAGAAUCCAUAAGAAUUUGCCCAUGCCUAACCACAAGGAAAAAGGUAUAAAAACGAGUUCUAUCUAUUUGUGACUUUUUGGACACUUUUGAUUGAUCCGACUAGGACACGCCAUCCCUAACCACUAGGAAGAAUCAAUUAGAAUUCCCAUCCCUAACCACAAGGAAGAAUAUAUUAGAAUGAGUUCUAUCUAUUUGUGACUUUUUGGAGACGUUUGAUUGAUCAGACUAGGACUAUAAUGAGUUCCACCAAGAGGGAUUAUCGAUAGUGAGAUUUGAACCUAGACUUUGGUCUAGCGAAGAGAAUGACCUUACCAACUCAACCAACCUUUGUCGUCUGCUCCUGUGAGUUUUUUUAUUUAUGAUCAAUGAAACUUUCAUUAACAGAGGAAAAAAGAACCAACCUAACUUAAACCAAUUUAUACAAUUAGUCCAACCAAACUAAGGGUUCGUUUGAAAGUACUUUUAAAAUGAUAGAAAUCGCUUUUAAAGAAAAUAUUUUUAGGAUUCAAAAGCACUUAAAGUGUUUUCUCCAAGAAACAUCAAUUAUGUACUUAUUUCAAGAAACACUUUAAGUGUUUUUCCAGAGAACCUUUGAGGAGUCUUCUUAUCAUUUUUCAUUAAAACAAAUUAUCAAUGAUAAUCUCCAAAUAUUGACUCACAUUAGGCAGGGGACCAGUGGCAAUAAUAAUAUUGAUUACUAUAAGAUAAGACUAAUUAGAGCAUCUCCAGCAGUUCUCCAAUUGCCCUUGCAAUUGGGUUGAAAAAGAAGGUUCAGUGGAGAAAAAAAAGGGCGGGCAAAUGGGCCAAGGGCUUGUGCCCUUUCAGCUGCCCUUGCAAGAAUCAACUGGGCUUGCGCCCGCCGCAUACAGAAAUGGACCAAGUGGGGCCCGUCCACGUGCACAUCCCAGAGUCAAUUGCCACCUUGCGCCCGCCGCAUCCCAGAGUCAAUUACCUAAUUGCUUUUCUAUAUAUACUCUACCGUCUUCUUCAUUUCUUGUAUUUGAAAUAUAUUACUGAAAUUAGAUAAUCAUUUUAUUUUCAUGGAACAAACCUUCUAAGCAUAAAAAAAUAUUUUAUAUUUGUGGAAAGUGCCCUUGUCCUCGCCCUUCACAAACGGAUAGAUUUGCACAAAGACAAUUAUUAUUUAGAAUGCAUAGUAAGAGCAAUUUCAUUGUUUUUGCCCUUUAUAAACGGAUGGACUUGCACAAAGAUAAUUACGAUUUAAAAUGAAUUAGGAGCUCUAAAGUGUAUUAGGAAAUACAAGAGAUCCUACCAUCCCAUCUCAAAUCAAAUCACAUGCAAUUUGGGAUAUGGAUAGCCUUCUACUACAAACUACAAAGUGCUAUAUUAUACUGAGUUUUAAUCAAAUGAAAAAAAUGUGUUAUAAGUGAAUAGUAACAUGAGUGAUUUUUUAAAAUAAAAAUAUCAUUUUCGUUAAAAAUAAAUAGUAUCAGAAAUGUUUCGUUAAAACUCCUAAAACAACUUACAAAAUUACAGAUUUCAGAAACAAUUGUCUCAACAUAAAAGGUGCCAUAAAAAGUGCUCCACUGCACGUGUUCCCUGAUGCUAUCACCUGCCCCCCUCCCCCAAUUCACGUGACGUCGCGUGAUAUCACACACCUCUUCACCAUUUUGUUCUUCUUACAGCUGUCCUAAGUGAGGCCCCGAUCUGUCAAAAAAAAAAAAAGUGAGGCUCUGACUGGGUUUUUUUACUUAAAUUUUUAUUGUAUGAAAAAGGUCUUUUCGGUUUAGAAUAUUGGGGCCAAAUUUGUUUGGAAAAUUACACCCAACAUAAAUAGUGAAACAAUAUCCAGCAUAUAAAAAUCAGAACAAUAAGUAAGUUCAUUGUGUGAAUGUGGUAUCGUGGAUUGAUUUUAUGGUAGAAUUUUAAUUUUUCUUUAUGAUAUCAGAGUAUGUUGAUUCACGUGUGAAGCUCAACGGCCACAUGUGCUCUACGUCACUCCGUUUGUAUUGUUCACGUGUUAAACUUGAAAUUCGUCACACAUAAGAUGACGUGUGAGAGUAUAAGUGAAAAAGUCCCACAUUCUCACAUUCAUCAUUUUACAAUUGUAACCCAAUUCAUUAGAGUCGAUAACAUAUUAGCAGUAUGAUUCGAUUCACAUAAAAAGUCCGUCGCAACAGGACCCAACAGAACACAAAGCUUCCACAAUUUCGACAAGGAUGCACCAAACCCAUGUGCAUGGUCUCCCAUUCCUGUUGCGGACACUUCACUGGUUGUGUGGUGGGGGUGGGUGACCCACUCCCGCAGGACCAACCUAAAUUCAUUCGUGGACCUCAGAGUUCGGACAAUAGCCAUCAUAUGCUGGCGGCAGCCGAAGUGCUGCACUUUUUUAUGCGUCUUGGCUACGUCCUAGCUAGUGUCCUUUUGUUUGCCACAUGAUCCUACUUUGUAAUUUCACUUGUAAACAUGGACAACAUUCACCCCCCCAAUAAUUGUCUUUUACAUCUUCACUCCUAAAUUGAAUAACCAUGACAACAGGUAAUAAAAUAUUAAUAUUUUUAUUUUAUAAACUAAUAAAAAAUAAUUUUAUUUCUAAUUUCAAAUAUGAUUUUUAAUCGGUAUCGUUGUACCACGUUUCAUUAAAUAAGAAAUUACAAUCCAAAGUAUUUGAAAAAAUAUAAAAUUAUGGUGUAAGGUGGAAUAUAAUGAUAAGAUAUUUAUAGAAAAAUUAAAUCAAUUUUUUAUUAAUUGUUUACAUUUUUAAAUUUUUUUUAAUUAAUUAAUUUUUUUUUUACAUUUUUAUUAAUUUUAUAACAUGACUGAGGUCAACCUUAUAUCAACUUGCUCUCAGGCGCUUGGGCCUUGGAUUCGUGCCUCCCCUCUCACACAAGCCCCCUAGCCUAAUCGCCAGCAUGGGCUUGAACAAGGAAGGGAGGGGAUUGGGUCGAGAAGGUCCCUAGUCCACAGGGCAUUUGCUACCGCUGGACUUGCUCUAAAUAGUUUACUUGGCGUGAAUUUUAACAUUGUGGAUCGCAAUUCUCUAUUAGUUGUAUGUGGAUUAGGAGGAAGUGCACCAAAAUUCAUAACAUCGACUCCAAAGGAGAUGUCAUAUUUUAAGUAGAAUGUCACACAAUCAAAUUUGAAAGUAGGAUGAAGUUCCAAUUGAUAUGUCAAUCUUCAGUAGAUUGGCAUAUAAAAAGUGCUGUCAAUUAAUUCUUUAUUUUAUUUUAUUAAAUAUUGAAAAUUUAUUUUAAUUGAUUUCUUUUAUUAGAAUAGAUUCUCCAAAUAUUAUUUAUAAUAAAAAAAAACAUAUGAAUUGGAGAAAGAGAAAUUGCCACGUCAGCCAUCAAAUUAACACUUGAAUUUAUCAUUUCACAUCUCCAUUGGAGAUGUCACAUUCCGACCUGGGCCCCCACCACAUCCCGGGCUCCCACCACAUCCCGGGCUCGACUCAACUGUAGCACGAUAUUGUCCGCUUUGGGCUCCGACCACGCCCUCACGGUUUUGUUUAUGGGAACUCACACGAGAACUUCCCAGUGGGUCAUCCAUCCUGGGAUUGCUCUCUUGUGAACUCGCUUCACUUCGAAGUUCCGAUGGAACCCGAAGCCAGUGAGCUCCUAAAAGGUCUCAUGCUAGGUAGAGAUGAAAAUAUACAUAUAAGGCUUAGAGAAUUCACUCCCCGGGACGAUGUGAGAUGUUACAAGAGAUGUUCUAAGCCCCUUAAAAUUAUUUUAGCACCCAUCACUAUUGCCUUGUUCAUAUAAGAAAAGAUUUUGCUCACUACCCUGAAGUGAUGGUGAUGUUUACUACUUUAUUUAUUAUUAUUUGAUGAUUUUAAAUUUCAAAAUCUAUCUAGUAGAAAUAUACAAAUCUUAAAAUUAAAACUUAUCUAAUAAUAAAUAAAGUAAUGAACAUUACUAUUUCUUAGAGUGAUGAGCAAAAAUGCGUUGAUAUAAAACCAAAUUUGGUGAAACCCAAAGCAGUUAUUGUAGGAAAGAUCCAACCACUCCAUCAAAAAGUAAAAGGCCAAAAACCCAGCGUCACAUACAAAUACCUAGACAAUGACAUCACCGCCCAUCAUAAGAAAAAGCAGAAAAAUAAGAUAAACAAAAAUUAAAUAUUAAAAAAGAUUUUAGACACAGACAAAUGCAGGCUUUGGCGGGUUUCCAGAACGUGAAGUUGAUAUUUGAGCAGAAAUCUCACCUCCUUCCCACCUUUUUAAUGCUCUUAACCCCUCCAUUUACUGCUUAUUUACGCCAUCUACCCACAAACCUCUCUCUCACUCUCUCUCUCUAUCUCUCUGUUCAGAGUCGGUUUACCUUCUUACCCAAAGAUUACUUGCUCCUCCUUCCACCCUAAGCACCUUCUACAGAUCCACAGCUAGGUUCUGCACCCCCAUUGCCAAUAUAAUAUUACCCAACAUUUUUAAUCUUCUUUUUCAUUAAAAAACCACACAUUUAUGAAUUUAUAUUUAUAUUUUAUUUAUGGGAUUUGAAUUUUGAGCCUCAAAGGUGUAAGCUUUACCGGGUUUAGUACUGCUGCCCCUGUUCCCAUCACACCCACUGCAAUUUUUUGGCGUUUCUGAGAAUUGGGUUUGAAUUUCUUGACAUCUGUAAUGGUAUGCGUGCGGUUUUAGCCUCUUGUGGGUAUUUUAUUGGAAUUACAAAUCAUGGGUUUUUUUGACGGUUUGUUGUUCUGGACAAACAGUGAUUUGGGUUUUUGAAAAUUCCACAUUUAACUAGGCAUUUCUGGUUUGGGAAGUGGGAUGCUCUGUGAUGCCGCCGUUUUGGGUAUUUUGUCAGUCUCUUUGGAUUCAGUGUCCCAGCAGCAGGCUGCCAUCUGAAUUCCCCAGCUUUUUUUUUUCUUCUGGGCUUGGAUCCGGUGUGUUUUCAACUGGGAUUUGAAAGUUGUUUCUGGGUUUUCUGUUUUGGGAAAGUCUCCGGCUGAUUUUACAAGGUAAUGUGCCCUAAAUUUGGAUUUGAUUCUUACCCAAAUCGGUUCCCUGCUCAACCUUUUGUUUUCUCUUAGAUUACAUUACCUUCUGUUUGGCUGCUGAGAAAAGAACACUGAUUGGAAAAGGAAAAAUUUGGAUUAAUUAGCUGGAUGUUGCUGAAUCUGACUAGACCAGAUAGGAAUCUUAAUCUUGUACAAGUGUUGGUUUUAGUUUUACUUUGACUUCUGUUAAUGUUCAAAAUUAAUGGUGAUCUUUUCCUUCAUUUACUUGAAUUUGAUAAUGCAGCAUGACCUGACAUUCUUUUGGUUGAUUUUUUGAUAUGAUUGGUCUUACUUGGUUAAACCUGCAUUUUCGAUUCACAUUUUGGGUUCAACUUUCGGGAGGGGGAAAAGGGGAUCGCUUAUCUAACUUCUUGUUUUUCUAAUUGGUUUAUACGCAAUUGUGAGCACUGAAUCAUGUCUUUGUUUCUCUGGCUUCCUAAUUAUCAUCUACGAUAUGCAUUCUUAGUCUGCGUGAUCAGUUGACUUACCUUCCAUUUUUUGUGGAAACAGUGUGAUUGAAUAUAAUUGAUUUACAAUGGUGCAGGAGAAUGAAAGUGCAACCAUCAAGGUUCCACAGUUGACUAGAAAUAGAUAGACUAUCCAGUAAUGUCGAGGAUCACUAGGUGGAAGCUUGAGAAGACAAAAGUAAAAGUGGUUUUCAGGUUACAGUUCCAUGCCACACAUGUAAGUUGGAACUUAUUAGAUUUACCGCUGAAAUUAUAUAAUUUUUAUACAUUUCUAAUUUGUAUUCACUUCUUAUGAAACCCGUGCAUAAACUUCUGGACUGUAAGGUGAAAUAGAAUUUCUUUAAGUCAAUUGUUGAAUGAUGCAUCAGUCAGUGUUAAUUAAAUAUUCUAAGCUGCCAAUGUGGAUUCAUUCAGUUUGUAAACAUUAGGCUUCGUAUUGCGACUUUGGGUGUUUGUUGUUUCUGUGUCCCUAGACUCCACUAACAUUUUCCUGGUAAUUGCCUGAAUUUGGGAUUCAAUUGUGUCAUAUGACGUGUAAGAUAAUCUAAACUCAACCGUAAGAUCCAUGUAAUUAAUGCAGGCGUGUAGCUAUCGUUAGCUGACAUUUUAUUCAAUUGUAGUUUCUUAUGGCUAUUGACUUAAAAUGCACGUAAAAUCUUCUAAAUGUGUACUUCUCCUAUAACAUGUGACAAGAUUGGGAAACGUGGUUCUAUAUCUAGCAGCUACAGUCUAGUCUACGGCUGAAAACAAUGUUUCUGCAUGGUUCAGGUUCCACAAACCGGAUGGGAUAAGCUGUUUAUAUCUUUCAUACCUGCUGAUUCCGGAAAAGCAACUGCAAAAACAACCAAGGCAAACGUGAGGAAUGGGACCUGCAAAUGGGGAGAUCCUAUCUAUGAAACUACAAGGCUUCUACAAGACACUAAAACCAAACAAUACGAUGAGAAGCUUUACAAACUUGUGGUAACCAUGGUAAUACUCCAUAGUACUCCAUCCAGAAUUCUUAUAUACUAAACUGGUCUCUGCUUCAAAAUUUGGUUGAUUUAGAACCUACACCACCAGAGCAGCUGAUUGCAGCCAUUAUCUUGUCUAAACUGAGUUUAACCUUUUCAUUGGCCUAUAUCUAACUGACAUCAGGGUUCUUCAAGGUCUAGUAUCCUUGGCGAGACUAAUAUCAACCUUGCUGAUUAUGCUGAUGCAUCAAAGCCUUCGUCUGUUGCUCUGCCUCUUCUUGGAUGUGAUUCUGGAACUGUUUUACAUGUGAGAACCUCUGAAGUUCAAAUUAUUUUAGACACAGUGUUAUCUUAGGGAAGCUAUUUGAUUUAUCAUUUAGCUUCCAGUAAUUAGUUACUACUGGUUGCCAACUACUAUUUGAGACUGUUUAACAAUUUUCUUUUGUCUUAUUCCAUGUCAGGUCACGGUACAGCUGCUAACUUCUAAAACUGGCUUCAGGUAAGCAUUAGAACAUAUCAACCUCUUGCUUUAUCUAAUUUCAGUUGUUAAUUUGUAGUUCUUUCCCUUUCAGAGAGUUUGAGCAUCAGAGGGAGCUCAGAGAGAGCGGUCUACGAACAACCUCUGACCAAAACAGAAAUGAUGUAUCCACUACUAGAAGAAUAUCAUCCUCUGAAGAUGCAGUAAAUGAGCAGAUGGAUAAGGUUAGUUGUUCUCUUCUGUCUUUAUUUGUCCCAUAGUAUAUAUGUUUGUUUUGAAACAUAAGCUCCUUGAAACGAGUAUUUACUAAUUUUGUUCAUCAUUUCAUAAACCAUUUCUAAUUAUUAAUAAGAGCAAAACCACUUAAAACAUAACAACUUAAACAUUAAUAGAAGCAAAACCACAUUCAAUACAGUAUUCAAGAGUCGAGACAAAUCAAGACAGAAAUUACUAAAUAGAACGUCCCAAAACUCCAGGUCACACUCACUAAAAUAGGAGAUAUGGUUGGAAAAAUAUUAUUUCAAGCACUCUUUCGUAUGGAUAGUGCAUCUAUGGUCUAUCUCUCUCUCUUUUGUCUACUGUAUGCUGGUUGCAUGUCUAUUUAUGACAUGAUUCUCCUUAUCUAAUCCUCUGAGGUGUGUCAUGCAUGUGUGGAAGAUACAUGCUGUCAGCCAAAAGAAACUCCUUUCUCCGAAUGCGUUUAUGCUAUGAAAGAUGAAAUUAGGCUCACUGUUGCUGCUAUGAUGAUGAAGUACUAAAGGGAUGACAUUACUAAAGAUACUAUAUUUCACUAUGAUUUAUAACAUAGUUCUGUAUCUGAUGAGAAAGAUAGGCCCUGCUUUUCCAGAGUUUUAUGGGUAUAUUCAUCCCUUGUAACGUUUUCCAUGAGUCAGUUACUGAGAAACUUGGUUUUUCUCACAAACUUUGACUUUUCUUAUGCUUGUAAGGUGUCGAAUUAUUUGAUACAAGGUUAUGAAUUUACACAAUGCAUUAUGUGAGUUCUUUUACCAUAUGGAGUUAUUAUCUUUGUUAUAGGAGUUUUAGAUCUGUGAUAAUAUAUGCUAAUUAUUUUCUUCUUUUUUACAGAUGAAUUCGAAAGUUAGAUUCAAAGAACUCUCUCCCCAUGAAGAAGGGGCUGGCUUGAAUGAAGAGUAUGCUGAUUCAACUGGUGGAUUUGAAUAUUCUUCCACUACUUCAGAAAGUUUAUAUGCUGAGAAACAUGACACGUCUAGCACCCAUGAGAUUGACAGUAUUAAGAGUACCGCCUCUGCUGAUCUAGGGGGAUUGUCCCUUAGUCAAAGUCCCGGACAAGAGAAACAACAUCCCUCAGAUCAGCGAUUCUUGGUACAGGGGACCAGUGAGUGGGCUCAUAGCUGGGGCUCUGAAUUUUCUCCAGAUGCUUAUUUACCAAAUGCUUCUGAGGAAAAUAGCAGGCUUAGAGGAAGCUUGGAAGCAGCUGAAUCAUCCAUUCUUGAGCUUAAGCAGGAGGUGAACUCUUUACAGGCUCAUGCUGAUGAAAUCGGCAAUGACGCACAAAAAUUCGGUCUUCAACUUGAUGCUGAAAUUGCUUCUGGAGAACAAUUAGCAAAAGAAAUUUCCACACUGAGAUCCGAAUGUUCAAAGUUAAAAGAAGAUCUUGAGGAGCAAAAAAGUUUCAAACUAAGCAUUCCAUUUUCCCACAGGGAAACUAUUGAGACAGGCCAAGAUUGCAUUUUUCAUGAGUUAUGGCUCAGGUGGUUUAAGGGCCUUUCAAGUAUGGAGGAUAAAUUAAAAGGGCUUCAGAGCAAGGCAUUAUUUGGAGCAAAUGAAAGGGACUUCCAGUCCUGUCACUCGGAUUUCGAGGCAUUGCUUGGUGUUUUGCAAGUUCUCAAACAAGAGACUGGACAGGCAAGUUCAGGGCUGAACGUGACAAGCGUAAAGCAGGCUGAUGAAAUAAGUUUACAUAAAGGCGAGCAAUUAGUACUAGGAACGAGGGUGGAUGCAGAUUCCUAUCAACCCGGGGGUGCGGUUCAUUGUCUAAGUAUACCUGGCCUGGUGUCACUAGACUUUGAUUCUGUAGAUGCCGCCAAUGCAAUGAAAGGGAAGUUUGUUGAAAUUUUAAGAGAGUUGGAUGAGAUGAAAGCUGAUCGAGAAAGCCUUGCAAAGAAAGCAGACCAGAUGGAGUGCUACUAUGAAGCUCUCAUUCAUGAACUUGAGGAAAACCAGAGACAGAUGAUUGGAGAAUUGCAGAAUCUCAGGAAUGAGCAUUCUACUUGCUUGUACACAAUUUCAUCUGCUAACGCUGAGAUGGAGAGAAUCCAGCAAGACAUGAACAACGAGCGAAGAAUAUUUUCCAAAGAAAAGCGUGAUUUGGACUCUCUGAACAAGGAGUUUGAAAGAAGGGCUACUACAGCAGAAGCAGCACUUAAAAGGGCACGCAUGAAUUACUCUAUCGCAGUGAACCAGUUACAGAAGGACCUUGAAUUGCUUUCAUUCCAGGUUCAGUCCAUGCAUGAGACUAAUGAGAACCUCAUUAAGCAGGCUUUUGAAGAUUCUUUGAUUCCAAUGUUUCAGGGGUGUGAAGAAACAGUGCAGAAUAAGAAAUCGGAUUCAGAGGAAUUUCCAUCUGCAAAUCACUUACAGUGUCAGAAUAAAUGCUACGGGAUAAAGAAACAGCAGUUAGAUGGGGAUGCAUUAUCAGACGAUUUGAAAAGAUCCCUCCACUUGCAGAAGGGCAUCUACCAAAAGGUUGAAGAAGAACUUUAUGAGGUGCAUCUGGUGAAUGUGUAUUUGGAUGUACUGUCAAAGACUCUACAAGUUACUUUGAUUGAAGCAAGUACUGCCGUCGGAUUGACGAAAGAGAAAGUGCAUGAACUUUCACAACAGCUGGAGCUUUCAACUGAGUCCAAUGAGUUGUUGAUGCUGAGGCUGCAGACUGCAUUGGAUGAGAUUCGCUGCCUGAAUGAGUACAAGGAAACUUGUAAUUCAAUCCGCAAUGACUUGGUUCUGAAGAACCAAAUUUUGGAAGCAGAUUUACAAAACGCUAGUAGUGAAAAUGGCCUUCUUACCCAGAAGAUUGUUGAAUGGAAAGGUAUGAUAAAAGAAUAUGAAACUUAUGAGAGCAAAUACAAGGCCUGCACUACUGAAAAAUUACAGCUGGAAAAUUUGUUGCAAAAGGAAACCCUAGAAAACGGCACUCUUCAGAAUAAACUUUCCUCUUUGCAGGAAGAGUUGAAAUCUGUCAGAACCGACUUUGAUGAGCUAGCUUGCAUGAAGGAGGAUCUGCAGAAUAUUGUGAAUUUUCUACAGGGUAAGUUAUGGAAUCUGUUGGCAUCAUAUGACCAAAAGUGUAAAAGCCUGGCUCUUUGCGGUGGAUGUGUCUGUCAAGACUUGGAAUCCAGAGAUUUAACAGGUGUAGUGAUGCAAAUAGAAGAGCUUCAGAACAAUGUAUAUGGAAAGAUUGUCCAAAUGAUGGAAGAAAAGAAAGAGCUAGCGCAAGAAAGAGAUAUUGCUCAAGAGUCUUUACGCGCAGCAGAGUCUGAUAACCUGAUCAUGAAGCAGAAAUUUGAACACGAUCUACGAGGUACAGUGGAUAAACUAGAUGUUUCGAGUGCGCUGGUUCAAAAGCUCCAGUCACGAGUUGAGGCCAUGGCAAACAGACCCGAGAUUAGCUGUGAAGCCGAAGACAAUUAUGCACAACAACACAGAGAGCUUUUGGUUGGUCUUGAUAAUUUAGAAUUGGAGCUGCAGCAACUUACUUCUAAAAUUGAGGGCCUUGCUGAGGAAUUUAUGGCAUUGGAGAAAUUAACUGAACAACUAGGAAGGUGUAACCUGACCAUAGCAGCAUUAACAGUGGAAAAAGAAGCUUUGAUGGUGUCCUUACAGGAUAAAACUGAUGAAUCUUCCAGGCUUGCUCUCGUGCUUAAUAGUUUGCAAGGGAGUUUGCUUUCUUUGCAUGAUGAGGUGCAAACAGAGAGAAAUCUCAGAGAUAAGUUAGAGAGUACAAUCGCAGAUCUCACAUCCCAAUUGAACGAGAAGCAUUGCCAGGUGCUAGGUUUUGAUCAGCAGAAGGCUGAGCUUGUCCAUCUCAAACAAUUGGUUUCAGAUCUAGAAUUAGAGAAAUCAAGAGUCUCCCGUCUCUUGUUGGAUUCUGAGGAAUAUCUAAAAGACGUCCGUGAAGAAUGUUCUUCCGUUUCUGCUUUAGAGGCUCAAUUGUCUGAAAUGCAUGAAUUUUCAAUAGCUGCUGAUGUUGGACUCACUUUCACAAAAGCUCAAUAUGAGACAAGGAUAGAAGAACUAGAAAGGUAUAACUUGACCGUUGCAGCACUGUUAGAGGAAAAAGAAGUUUUGAUGGCGUCUUUACAGGAUAAAACUCAAGAAUCUUCCAGGCUUGCUCUCGAGCUUAAUAGUUUGCAAGGGAGUUUGGUUUCUUUGCAUGAUGAGGUGCAAACAGAAAGAAAUCUAAGGGAUAGGUUAGAGAGUACAAUUACAGAGCUCACUUCCCAUUUGAAUGAGAAGCAUUGCCAGUUGCUAGGUUUUGAUCAGCAGAAGGCUGAGCUUGCCCAUCUAAAACAAUUGGUAUUGGAUCUAGAACUAGAGAAAUCAAGAGUUUCCUGUCUCUUGUUGGAUUCUGAGGAAUGUCUAAAAGACGUCCGUAAAGAGUGUUCUUCCAUUUCUGCUUUGGAGGCUCAAUUGUCUGAAUUGCAUGAAUCUUCAAUAGCUGCUGACGUUGGACUCACUUUCACAAAAGUUCAAUAUGAGAUGAGGAUUGAAGAACUAGAAAGGUAUAACCUGACCAUAGCAGAAUUAUCAGAGGAGAAAGAAGCUUUAAUGGCGUCCUUGCAGAAUAAAAAUGAAGAAUCUUCCAAGCUUUGUCUGGAGCUUAAUAGGAUGCAAGGAAGUUUGCUCUCUUUGCAAGAUGAGUUGCAAACUGAGAGAAAUCUCAGAGAUAAGUCAGAGAGUAGAAUUACAGAUCUGGCUUCCCAAUUGAUUAAGAAGAACAGUCAGUUGCUAGAUUUUGAUCACCGGAUGGCUGAGCUGGUCCAUCUCAAAGAACUGGUAUCGGACCUAGAACUAGAGAAAUCAAGAGUUCUCGGUCUCCUGUUGGAUUCUGAGAAAUGUCUUAAAGACGCUCAUGAAGAGUGUUCUUCUGUCUCUGCUUUGGAAGCUCAGUUAUCUGAAAUGCAUGAAUUUUCAAUAGCCGCUGAUGUUGGACUCACUUUCACAAAAACUCAAUACGAGGCCGUGAUCGAAGAGCUUUGUCAGAAACUGCACUUUUCAGAUAGCCAAGUUUCUGAAAUUCGCAACAAUUUCCUUAAUGUAGAGAAUAUGCUUAACAAAUGUCUUGCUAGCGAAAGGCAUUACCUUGAAGAGAACACCCAAUUGAUGACAAGUCUCAAUUUCAUUAAAUCUGAGUUGGAAGCCUCCAGUGCUCAAAACAGGAUACUUCUUGAUGCAAACAGUGUUAUGAGGACCGAACUUGAGGAAAACAAGAAAAGAGCUGAAAAUAUGGAGGAUAUUGUCCAUAUGGAUAAAAGUCAGUCUGCUCUUGAGGUGGAAAGGCUGGAACAUCUUCUAAUGACUUCUGAAGAAGAGAUUGAUAACCUGAUAUUCUCCAAGGAAGAACUGGAAGUCAAAGCUUUAGUACUCAAAGCCAAGUUGGAUGAACAGUCUGCUCAGCUAACCUUGCUGGAAGGAUAUAAGAAUGAAAUGGAAAUGCUGCACGAUAGAUGUAGCGAUCUAACACAGAAGCUUGCUCAACAGGUCUUAAAGACGGAAGAAUUUAAGAACUUGUCCAUCCACUUUAAGGAUCUUAAAGACAAGGCUUAUGCCGAGGGCCUCCAUGCACAGGGUAAAAAAGAACCAGAAAGGCCACCAACUGCUAUGCAAGAGUCUUUAAGAAUUGUAUUCAUCAAAGAACAAUAUGAAACCAAGCUGCAAGAACUGAAACAACAACUUGCUAUGUCCAAUAAGCACAGUGAGGAGAUGCUUUGGAAAUUACAAGAUGCAGUCGACGAAGUUGAGAAUAGGAAAAAAUCCGAAGCUACUCAUGUGAAGAGAAACGAAGAGCUAGGAAUGAAGAUCUUGGAAUUGGAGUCUGACCUACAUUCAUUACUUUCUGAAAAGCGUGAAAUAAUGAAAGCAUAUGACCUGAUGAAAGCUGAAAAGGAAUGCUCAUUAAUAAGCCUUGAGUGCUGUAAGGAAGAAAAACAAGAGCUUGAAGCAUCUUUGCAGAAGUGCACUGAGGAAAAAGCUAAAAUUGCUUUAGAACUCACCUCAGCGAAGGAUUUACUUUCGAGCAGUUCAUCAUCUGUAAAUUAUCAGAAGGGCGCAGAGGAACCUUUGGUUAAGUUUUCUGAACUAGAUGGAGCCAAUGGUGAAGCAUCUCAGCAUGAAUGCAUGAGUUCCGUUGAUGAAGCAGACCAGUCAAAUGUACUCAACAAUAUAAACUCCAAGCAGGUAAUUAACUGUUUUUAUGAGGAUUAUGUAUAUUAGAGUAAUUUGCUCCAUUGAUACCUCUAAUUCUUUGUGCAAAUAUGUUGCACCCAGAUGCUUAUGCUAGCCUAUAUACGUUAUGCAUUAUUCUUUUCCGUCAAGUUUUGGAAAAGUGAACAAAGAUUGCUUUUUCAUUCUGCCCUCUCUGAAAAGGUGUUUUCAGUUUGCUAUUGUUUUCUGCUUUUUUCCAUCAUGGUGAGUUUGAAUGGUUCUUCUGAAGUUGUAGUUCUUACCAGUACCAGUUGACAGUGCCACAACAAGUUGCUGCUCCAAAUAUUACCAAAGUAAUAGCAUUCCUAUUUUAUUUAGUGCUAGACCUUCUCUACACAAUUCAGCUCCCUGCUAUCACAUUAAACACAUUUCCUGGAAAGUAUCACCACUAGAGUGAAAUUCAAAGCACUUGACGGUGGCUAAUAUAUUUGGUACGACCAGUUACUGUCAGUCCUCGGAGGUUUAAACUCCUUGUUCACAAUUAAUGUUGUCAACUUUUCCAAGAAAUAAUGGUGAAAUCUAAUUAUGAAAGAAAUUCUAUUUUAGUCCAAUCAGAAAAAAACAUAAGUAUGAUCUAUAUAGUAUGCUUGCCUAAUUAGUUGUGAAUGUGUUAUCUUUCAUAGCUCGCACCUUCUUCUUGUGGCCUCUUCGAACUUUACAUAAAGUUCUCUUAGAGACAAUAAUAAUUUGUGUGUAACUUGGUAAUUGAUUUUCUUAGGCUUCAAAAUUUUGAAGUUCUCCUCUCUCUAGCAGAGGAAUAGGAUAGUCAUUCUCUCAAAGAAAAGGUUUACUAUGUUUUAUUUUUAGAUGUAUUAUAUGUAGAAAUUUUGGUCGCUGACAAUAUAUGCACGUGAUUGGACAGGAUGAUCUUGUAUCCGGAGGUGUAAAUGGGAUCUCUGGUAUAGUACUUUCAAAGCAAAGGGAUAUUCUUAAUAGCGACAUGAAGCAUUUGGUUCUUGCCAAUGAGAAUUUUAAGGCCCAAGGCUUAAAGUCUAGCAUGGAAAACUUAAAUAAGGAGGUAUGUAUUUUGUAUAAUCACAAGUGAACAGAUGCUUUUGUAUUGCUACAGUUUUAACUUCUAAAGUUGGGGGGGGGGGGGAGCAGAACUGGAUAAUAAUAUCUCAACAGUGGUUCUAGAAUUUUUAAUCUGUAUUAUCUUGUUGCAGUUGGAAAGGAUGAAACAUGAAAAUUUGCUUCUUUCCGUCGAUGAUCAACACCUUGAACCAAAUUUUCCUGGUUUACAUAGAGAGAUUAUGCAAUUAAAUAAGGUAAAUAACAACUUAUAAUAUAAGCGUGUCCUUGAACUGUAUCAUGUUUCAUAUAAAGCAUGUCCUUGAACUGACUUCAUGUUUCGGAUCUUUGAUUAGGUAAAUGAAGAAUUGGGAAAUAUAUUUCCCUCCUUCAACGAAUUUUCUUGCAGUGGCAAUGCAUUAGAGAGGGUGCUAGCUUUGGAAGUUGAACUUGCUGAAGCAUUGCAGGCAAAGAAGAAAUCAACUAUCCAGUUUCAAAGGUACAUCUUAAGUGAGCAAAUUAUCUAUUUCGUGUUUAGAUGCAUGUCAACUAGAACCUUUGCAGCGGUUAUGGGUAAUGUCUUUUCGGCUUUUCGGCUUUGGUGUAUUUUGUGUUUGCAUGGGAUCACAAGGCCCUGCUAAAUUUGUCAUUUAUGAACCAUAAGAAUUUCAUAAUGUACUUCAUCUAUUGAUUUUUGGACUUUUAGGGACUUUUAAGGGGGGAAAAGGUGGUUAUUUUAAGUUCAGCAGAACUAGGAAUACACGAGUUUAAUAAUUAACAUGACACCCUCCUUUGUUCCAGUUCUUUCGUGAAACAACACAGUGAUGAGGAAGCAGUGUUUCACAGCUUCAGAGACAUCAACGAGCUAAUCAAAGACAUGCUGGAGAUUAAGGGAAGAUAUGCUACCGUGGAAACGGAACUCAAAGACAUGCAUGACCGUUACUCCCAGUUAAGCCUUCAAUUUGCAGAGGUCGAAGGAGAGAGACAAAAACUAAUGAUGACUCUCAAGAAUGUCCGAGCGUCAAAGAAAGCCCUAUACUUGAAUCGCUCCUCAACAUCCCCUUUUCUGGACCCUUCGUAAUAGUCACUGUAGCCAUCCAUUCUCGUUUGCGAAGAGAUAGCCCUUUACGGGGUUGAGAAUUGAUGGUCCGACAUGCCUUGCUGCACCAUGUUAUCGUAUAUGUGAAAGGUGAAUAAUGUAUGGGCCAGUUAGCCGCUAGCUGUGAAACUUCACGAUGUUGAAAUGUGGUAUCGAAGGCUCAGCAGCAGUGUAAAUAGAAACCUCUGCUGGUUUGUGCAACUGGUUUAUAGUAUCACAGGUACAGAACCCUGUUACGAACCCUUCAUUUUCGGGUUGCUGGGAGAAUAUGUUGUAGUUCUGCCAUAUAGUCAAUCAAAUUUUGUCAUAUUUAUUCAAACAUCGAAAGAUAUUGCAUUUUCUCCCCAUACAUCCCUUCUACAUACCAAUUUCAUUUGGGAGAGGACAAGACUUGCAAAGAACAUGUAACUCAAGUGAUUACGAGCAUUCAAGACAAAAAUCUACAGGUGAAUGAAAAAUGCUCUUGAACCAAUAGAAAACAAAUUCUGCUUUACAAUAAGCUCGCGAAUCAAUCAAAUCAAUAUGUUCGUUUGCUUUUUUUUCUUUUACACUUGUAUUCAUUGAUGCCAGAAAAACAGAAGAAGCUCCUAAUGCGUCAAUAUGGUCCUUUUCUCAGUAACAAAUCACAUGCAAUAACGAACUAUAACGCGUUUUACAUACGGACACGAUAAGAUUCAAAGUAACAAAAGUCUGAUGAAUCCAUGAAUUUCUUGAUGCUACUUCUGACCGCCCGGUAACUGAGAUUUGAACUGCAUCCCAUCAGCAACACAUGAGAAGACACGGAAAACAAUAACAGACUGCAGGAGCUCCACGAAGCUUGUUACCAGAAGCUACAAUAUUGAACAUGAACAUCGAGGCUGCUCUGGAGAAUCAUUCAUCAAUUUAUCUGUAUAAAAAUGCAAUUGUCAAAGUGUCAAUUCCUUGUUCCGGAACCUUUUCUUUUGUUUUGGUAACAUAAUCCUAUAUCGAAGCAUUACAUAACAUUAACGUCAAAGCAUCGCAUAUAUCAAGAUUCAUAUACUUUUCUGCUAGCCAUAAUUUCAUCUACUAAAAAUUAUUGAAAAGAAGGAACGGUCUACGGAUAUUGUUUAUUUGGGAAGAGUAUAUAUAAUAGCAGAAUGAUAGCACACAGGAAAAACCUAAGGCGGCAAGGUAUACAACAAGGGAGGGAAAGGACCAGAGGCCCAGUUAAAAAACAAGCAUACAAAACAAAUACAAAUGAAAAAGAGCCUAUCCUGCUUUAUUGGUUGGAGCUAUUACGAAAGACAACACGUGUGCUCAGUUAAGGAACAAACAUAAAAAAUAAAGACAAAUUGUGUCAUGUCAUUCAGAAACUGCACUUACGAGAAGUAGCGUGAGAAAUUAGUUAUGGACGUAAGACUACAUCCAGAUUCUAGCAUGUGUGCUCAGAUCAAGAAAUUGAGAGGAACCAGAAGCAAGAUACCUUGCUGCUGAAUUCCUCAGAAAGAGCUAUGUUCAUAAGAGAUUGAUGCAUAACAAUUAUGAGUCUUAAAAAAAUCGGUUUCCAAUUGGGGGUUAAACACUCAUGAAAACUACCAAGAUGUCAGAUACUUAGGGGAAGAGGCUAGUCAAGAUAACAAACUCAACAAAGAGCAUGUGCUACAAGAUAUAUCCAACAUAACCGCAAAUAUUCAGGCUGAAAGAAAAACAAAACCGCAAGCUAGUCUAGUAAAACAUAAACAUAAUUACCAUUCUUUUUGUCUGCAAUAGGAGGGCGCACAACCACGUGCAUAGUGAUGAGACUUCCAGGGAGUUCACCAACUGGAUUUCUGGAAUCAGCAAGUGUCCUGUUGUUUUCCAGUAUCUUUCCCGCAUUAAUAAGCUUCAAAUCAUUUAUUGUCCUUGGACCAUUUUCUUUCUCUAUCAAACAGAUUACAUUACAUGAGAAAAAAUAUAAGUCAAUCUCAAACCAAAGCACAAUGGUGCGAUCAUAAAGCAACCAAAGUUUCAUUACUUCUGUCAAAAUGUCGGCUUUGUCUGCAAUUUUUUCAAUAUUCUGUUUGCUCAGUGCAAGAGGCAAACACAUGAUAUGUCUAAUUACCAACAUCAGCAACAUAUAUGCAACAACUAUGACUAACACGAACAUACACUUUCAUAAUAUAUGACUGAUAAAAGCAACGACAAUUUCCAAAAACAUAUGAGUAACUUGAGCAUACACUUUCAAGAACAACAAAGAACUCCGUCAUCUGACUAACGUUUUUCAAUAUUAUGUUUUUGGAUUAUGCUCAAGUUAGUCAUCUGUAGAAGCUAGUCAUAUGUUAUAAUGCAGUAACAAAUAAGUACAUUCAUAACAUAAUCCAGAGCCAUGACUAACUUGAGCAUACACUUUAAAAAACGAUUAAGAACUCCGUCAUAAUUCAUUUGUAUCAUUUUCAGACCGUCACCCAAGAUUAUAUCAACACUGAAGGACAUAGAGCCUCAAAUUUCUUGGACAAUGGCACAACAAGCAUGAUAAAAUCAACAACAAUUUCCUCACAACAUUUUCAAUACAUAACAAUAAUAAUAGAGCAACAUUAUCUUAUUUCAACAAUUUUGGGCAAAAUAUCAUAAAACAAAUGUGAUAUGCACAAAAGCUCUCAAGAAUCCCAACCCAAUGAUACAAAAAGCGAAAGAACCUCAAAAAAUAUAAGUUGUGCAACAAUAUAAAAUAAAAUGAAAAUUUAACAGAAGAAUUAAUUAGGAUAAAAAGAAAUAAACCUUUAGGCCAUUGUGCAAGUAUUUUCUCCUUGAGUGAUUGUACAGUGGUAGAUGGGCUAUACUUCUGAGGUCCUAUGUCGGUCCCAUCAAAUAGCCUGAAUUUCAGCUCAAUCAAAUCUUGACCUGCCGCCAUUGAUGAACGUUCCAAUCCAGCAAAAACCCACCUAUCAAUUUCUCAUACCACUCUCCAAGAACCAGAAUAAAACCGCCACAAAUGGCAGAAUCAAAGAAAACCCAGAUCAAAUCUGAUCAAGAUUCACACUUUGAUUAAAACCCAGAAGUGUAAAAGCUCAAAUACCCAUGAAAGAAGCAAGCUUUUUUUUUUUUUUUUUUUUUUUUUAUCGAUAAAGCAUAGAUUUGUAUUGAAGUUGCAGUAAAAAGACACAAAGUUCUUGGUGAUGGAAACCCAAAAGGCAGUGACAGAUUAGAAAUCUGUGAAAUGAAUCCAGAGAGAAAGAGAGGAAGAAGAAGAAGACAGCUCCCUUGAAUUGCUUGAUGUAGAAAUUAAGAAAGUAGAAAGUGUGCCUAAAACGAUCUGAGUUAGAUUUUUCACCUGAAUUAACACAAAUUUCAGAAAUUGCCCACGUCUUAUAUUUGUAAAAUUACUUUCACUUUUUAUGACAUGUAAUUGUUUGGAUGCAUUUUUUGAUAACUGGUAGUUGUUAUUAAUCUACUAAGAUUAUGUUGUUAUUAAUCUACAAUUGUCAUCUAUAAAAUUUAGAGAUAUGCAUUUCGUUAAUAUUGAGAUAAAAUGUGUAAAUUUUCUUAUACAAAUGUUAUUUUAUUUUAAAUUUAUCCAAUUAUGAGAAUAUGGGUUUAAACUUGUGUGUAAAAAAUAAAAGCACACGACUUUAGCUAAGUUGACCAAAUCCAUAUUUGCAACAAGGACUAGAUGGUUAAUUAAAUAGAAAUUGGAUUAUGAUACAAUUGUCCUUCAACUUGAAAUAAUUAGAUUUAAUAUCUUGAUAUUAGAGAUGUUCAAUUCCACAAUUAAUAAUUGAAAGAUAGGAGGAUACUUUGUCCAAUGUUUUUCCGUCUUUGGUUUAGUAGUAGUUGUCUUCGCUUAUGUUAGGUUAAGUGUUUUAAAUUUGACUCAUAUGAACGUGAGAGUGAUAUUAUAUUGUGGUUGUGUUGGUCCAUCUUAAAAGCAUUUUUCCUCAAAAAGAGUGGUUAAUUUAUGGGAGGAAACCAAAUAGGAACCUGGUCAGAGAUGUGAAGUCAACUUUGAAUAGUUCAAGUAGUUAAUCAUAUAAUUAUUAAUUUUUUAGUACAAUGAUAUAUAGUUAAUAAGAUAAUUAUUAAGUAAAUGUAUUUUCUUAAGCAGCUAUCUUAAAAUCUGUUGGUGUUGGUAGAAGUAGGCAGGCCUCUUGCUUCUCCUUGCUUGGCUUUGGUUUUGUUUGGUUGGAUGUUAGUGAUUUGGUCUCUCUUAAAAUCUUUUUGCCUAAUUGCCUCUAUGGUAGGCAACUUGGCACCAUUUUUAAAGCAUGUAGUAGGAAAAUGACACAUUAUUUUUCAACACUCAUUCUUUCAUUUUUGGUUAUUAAAUUAAAUAAAAUUAAACAAAAACAACGAACAAAGAUUAAACAGCGACGUAUAAGAAGCGAAAAAUAGCGUGAUCGUCAUUGAGUUGAUGUAGAUGAAUAAUCUCUCUUCACUAUUAGUAAUAGAAAAGAUGGAUGGAGAAUGUUAAAUAAUGGGGGAUUUAGAAUCCAGCAUAUUUUUAAAGAUGAAUUGCAAGCAAGGUUCUAAAGACGUUAGGUGCUAGUUGGGCAGCGGGCUGCGACUUAGGGCCUAGACGGUUUGGGGGGACUUAGGCCUGGGCCUAGGCAUACUAGGCGGAUUUAAGUAAAUUUAUUAUACAUUGUAUAAAUAGGUUCUUAUUUAUACUUCUAUGGGGAGGCAUAAAUUGCAAAAUAAAAUGAACUAUAAAUUAUAAGGUAUUAAAACAUAUUGAGAAAUGGGGAACAAACAUAUAAUGGGUGUUCAUUAGAGUAUUCAACAAAUAUCUUACAUUUUAUUUAUAAACUGCAAAAUGAAAGAUAUCAAUUUUCUGUAUAAGUGAGUUGCGACCUAGGCGGGUUAGGCGGACACUUGGGCAGGCUAUGUAGACGCCUAAGCAUGUCUAGGUCCCUUUCUUAAUUUCAAAUGCCUAGGGAUUAAUCGGGAUGGUAGCUAGCUACCUAGUGCCUAGGCGGAGAUUUUUAGAAUAGUGCUUGCAAGUGGUCCUCUACCACAGUGAUGGAGAGGAGUGUUGCCCUUGCACCAUAGUGGUUAGAACCCCCGUCGUCUCCCUAAUCUAACAUCUAAUCUAAAAAAUCUAUCGUUUGAUAAAAAAACAAAGAAAAAAAAGAA